rnacentral:rRNA from 1 species
UACAGAGGGGCAAGCGUUGUUCGGAAUUACUGGGCGUAAAGGGCGCGUAGGCGGCCUGUUAAGUCGAACGUGAAAUCCCCGGGCUCAACCCGGGAACUGCGUCCGAUACUGGCAGGCUUGAAUCCGGGAGAGGGAUGCGGAAUUCCAGGUGUAGCGGUGAAAUGCGUAGAUAUCUGGAGGAACACCGGUGGCGAAGGCGGCAUCCUGGACCGGUAUUGACGCUGAGGCGCGACAGCGUGGGGAGCAAACAGG